GAUGAACGCUGGCGGCGUGCUUAACACAUGCAAGUCGAACGAAGCACUUUAUUCGAUUUUCUUCGGAGAUGAAGAUUUAGUGACUGAGUGGCGGACGGGUGAGUAACGCGUGGAUAACCUGCCUCACACUGGGGGAUAACAGUUAGAAAUGACUGCUAAUACCGCAUAAGCGCACAGUACCGCAUGGUAUGGUGUGAAAAACUCCGGUGGUGUGAGAUGGAUCCGCGUUUGAUUAGCCAGUUGGCGGGGUAACGGCCCACCAAAGCGACGAUCAAUAGCCGACCUGAGAGGGUGACCGGCCACAUUGGGACUGAGACACGGCCCAAACUCCUACGGGAGGCAGCAGUGGGGAAUAUUGCGCAAUGGGGGAAACCCUGACGCAGCGACGCCGCGUGAGCGAUGAAGUAUUUCGGUAUGUGAAGCUCUAUCAGCAGGGAAGAAUAAAUGACGGUACCUGACUAAGAAGCCCCGGCUAACUACGUGCCAGCCGCCGCGGUAA
rnacentral:rRNA from 1 species